rnacentral:lncRNA from 1 species
GUUCUCCCCUGACCUGUUGGUGCAGGAGUCUGCCCCACCCACUUGAGCACCUAUUUAAUCCAGCUCAGCCAGGGCAGGCAGCCCACCCUAGGGACUGGCCGCAUCCAACAGCAAGCCCUUGGGCAACAUGUGGGUCCACAUAGGCAGGGUGUGUGGGACCUCUGCAGUGGGAAGAACCAGCAGAGGAUUCCAAGGUUUUAAGAGGUGAUGGGACCACAAGACGGAAGGACCCUUUCCAGACACCUAUCAGACUUCAUAUGAGAAAGAAAGAAACUUCUGUUGAGUUUGGAUUCCCCCAAAGCAGGCUCUGAAGGAAGACUCAAAAGCAAGUACUUUACUUGGGAGGUGAUCCCAGGAAGCCCAGUGAUGAAAUGGGGAAGUGACAGUGGAAGAGAGGAAAACCAAUGAACGGGAAGGCCAUGAAGCUGGGACAGGAUGAAGGAGAAAGCAUAGGACUAGAUUAGACUUCCCAGGAGUCUGUGCAUAGACGUCAACUGCCAAGAGCUAAGCAGACCUGAAUAGGGCAAGAGGUCCUGGGGCUGAAACCAUUGAAAUGGCUGAGACAUGCUCCCUGUGAUGUGACUUCACGCCCUGUGACCCACAGUAUUCAAUAAGACCCCAAAACUCAUGCUAUGCUGAGUGUAAUUAGGGUUCCUGUAGAAGCCAGCAGUGAAGUGUUCAAGUCAGCUUAAGGCUGAACCAAAGUGGCCCAUAAGGACUUAAUUCGUGAGACAGAGGAGAUCAGGGAAAAAAUAAGGUCUGGGUUUGCAAAAAUUAUGAGGAGGAUGGAAAUGCAGUUACAGCCUGUGACUGUGAUGUUUGAAUUCGUUCUCACACAGUAGAUAAGUAGAGAAGUAAAACCACCUAGAUGUGUGUUAGUUGGCAUCCUCUGAGAAGGAGAUGCCAAGACACAAUGAAACAUGCGAGAAAUUUGUUAGAAGAAACAUCGGCGACAGAAAAUGAGGAGGGAGCCAGGAGAGGCUGGGAGAAUCAUCAGACCUGGAUGCCCCGAGUGCAGGAGAGAGAGAAGGAAGGAAGACUGUGUGGGUGGAAGUGUCUUAGACAGCAGUGCAAGGAAAGUUUGGCACUGCCACCAGGAAUUCCUCCAGCCAAAGUCACCUGAUAGAGGAUUCCCAUGUCUCCUACAAAUGUGCCUGCCUUGUUAUCUCUGUCACAAAAAAAGGGGAGAAGAAGGUGACUAUGCUUUUUGCUAGUGUCACCAGAUUAACACAAAAAACAUCACCUAGCUGAAAAUAGUGACCCAAGGAGGAAUAUAAAAUACACAUAAACGCACACACCAACACACCCCCCCCCCAUCUUCUUUAUUUUACCCCAGUUUACACCUUCUCUGUGGUUCCGUCACACCAUUGUCCCAGGCUUGUGUAAUUUUCUUGAUGAAAAUGUUUAGUAACAUGCCCAUGUCAAUUUCCUGCUUUUGAUACUGUACUAUAGUUACGUAAGAUGUUGUCACCAGGGGAAGCUGAGUGAAGGUAUGCCUACUAUUUUUGCAACUUCUUGUUAGUCUAUAAUUAUUUUGAAAUUAAAAGUUAAAAAAAAUGUUUAAUACAGAACCCCAAAUAUGAGUAAGGCUACUGGUUUUAAGAACCCACAUAAUAAACAAAAAACGAAAGCCCUAAUUAUGCAGGAGGAUGUUGAAAUAAACGAUUUUGAAGGAAAUGAUGAAAAGUGAAUGCGAUGCCACAAGAACAACAGGCCUAAGGGAAUAUGCUUUUCACCUUCAGAGACAAGACUGCAAACCUAGCAGAGUGGAGAGCUUAACAUAUCCUGGUUUUCCUGCUGCAAGUGGGGUUGAAAAGCACGCGCAGUGGAUUGAAAAUCACAACUAUCCUGCCAAGCGCAGCAGGCUAGCGUUUCCUGGAAUCUGGUCUUAUUUGGAGCCAUACAAGCUGCUGCUUUCUGAAAGGAGGAAACUGAAAACAACAACAAAAGCAGAAUUUCUCUUUUAUUCCCGACUGGAAGAAAGAAAAUCAGGACCAUGAGCUAUCCACCGCUGAUGUCACGUUUGUCUUUAUACGUGACGAUUCCAUUCACCACACCUCUUCUCCGUUGUGUGGAAGCUCCAUCUUACCUCGUCUGCUUCCACCAAGCCAACUCCAUGCCUUUUAUUCAGGCAAAGGCCUAUGUUUACUCAAUUAUUAGGAAUUAAAGAGGUUUAGAACUGUGAGAACAUUUUUAUUGGGUCAGUUUUUUAUUUUAAUUAAUUUUUUAAGCGUGUUUCUCUUGAGACUUUGUUUUUAAUGUUGUGCCUGUACCUCCGUUUCCCCCCAGGCCUGUUACUUAUAUUGUACGUGAUCCUAUAGCAUGGCGAUUUUUAGUAACACCUCUGCCAGGUUACUGUUUCUUGUUGUAAAUUAGCAUUUCCUUGGUUACUAAAAUCAUUCUUUCUUUUGUUUUCUGGCCACUUGUAUAUCUCUCUUUAUAUCCCUGUUGUUGUGACACGCGUGUCAUAACUUUCAC